UGCCAGCCGCCGCGGUAAUACAUAGGGGUCAAGCGUUAUCCGGAAUUAUUGGGCGUAAAGCGUCCGCAGGUGGUUUUGUAAGUCAUCUAUUAAAUACACUGGCUCAACCAGGGUGCUGUAGAAGAUACUGCAAAACUAGAAGAUGAGAGAGGCAAGUGGAAUGCUGCAAGUAGGGGUAAAAUCCGUAGAUAUGCAGUGGAACACCAAAAGCGAAGGCAACUUGCUGGCUCAUUCUUGACACUCAUGGACGAAAGCGUAGGUAGCAAAACGGAUUAGAUA
rnacentral:rRNA from 1 species